AUACUUACCUGGCAGGGGUGAUGCCAUGAUCACGAAGCUGGUUUCCCCAGGGUGAGGAUUAUCCAUUGCACUCCAGAUGGGCUGACCUUUGUGGAUUUCCCCAAAUGUGGGGAAACUCAACUGCAUAAUUUGUGGUAGUGGGGGACUGCGUUCACACUCUUCCCUG